rnacentral:misc_RNA from 1 species
GUAUUGAUUUUUAAAAACAUACAAUUUCAUUUAAUAGUGUGUAUAAAAAAUCAUAGACAAUAGAUAGCAUUACUAUCCUUGUCUACAGAAUGUGCACAGGGGGAUGAUAGUCAGAGUGCACAUGCAAGUAUAAGUUGCCAGCACAUCCUUUGAGAAUCAUUAAUGAUCCUUCCGCAGGUUCACCUACGGAAA